GGAAAAUGUCAAACAAACCAAAACCGAGAAACAUUCUACAACAUAUCUUCAAAAUAUUGGAGAAAUAAAAGAAAAAGAACAGGAAAAUAACAGAGCAGAGAGGACUAAGGAAAAAUGUCAAAUGAAUAUUAUGUUUUAUCCUGGUUGCAUCCUGGAACAUAAAUGAGACACUACUGGAAAGGACAUUCGUGGAAAAACUGAAAGAAAAAAAGAACCCACUUACAGAGAAAAACCCAGAACAAGCAUUUGACCAGCUACUUCAAGAUCUAUAAGUGCUCUGAAAAUGGUGUGAAGCAUUUGGUGGUAAACGUUACAGACUGAACUGUGAUAAGAAUCUUGAAAUAGAUCGAAAAGGGACAGACA